rnacentral:lncRNA from 1 species
UUUGGUUCACAGCUUUCAUUGGAUUACCUAUCAGGACAAAGUCUGGCCAUCUGAAAAUGUUCAUAGACCAGAGAGUUUGUAUUGCUGUCUCAUGGCUAGAAUUCUGAGAAAAUAUGAAGGAAAAGAAAACUGCUGAAACAGGAUUGAAGUUCCUGAUCGUGUUGUUUUCUGUUGGUGUAUCUAAAAUGAACCCAAGAACACUUGUCAUCCAGGAACACACAUCGUGGAAGAAACAGAUGAAUGCAAGAUGCCUUGAGUGUUCACUGUUAAUUAUGAAGAAGUACUAAUAGAUGAUGUUUUGACUGGUGGGAGCAAGUUGAAGGCUGCUGACAGCAAUGAAGAAAAUUAUUUUUUUGGAAGAUGAGAAAGCCAUGGGAGAUGGGAAGAGCUGGAUGUUUCAGCUUGACAUGGGUUCAUUAGGCCUGGGGUGACAACUGAGUCAACACUCAAGAGGUCCUACAGCUCCACAAGCUCCUCUUCAUCUCUACAAGAUUUUCAUGCUAUGAACUACAUCAGACAAGGUGUAUCCUCGUGGCAGAAGAAGGAAAUAAAACAAAAUAAUGAAUCCAGUUGAAGUACCGUUUUAGAGAUACGAUUUAUUUUUCAUUUUUCAUGCAUGAAUUUUGUGUAGCCUUCUUCUUAGUAACACCAGCUUUACUGAUGCCCUGAUCCAAAGGUGUUUAUGUAAAUCUCUCGUAUCCAAACCACAGAAUUCCCACCAUCAUGUGUAAAUAGAAGGCACUAGAUAAGCAGGUUGUCAGCAAUACCACCAGGCCAGAAACUCUGCUCCUUGUGAGAAUUUUCUACCAAAAGAACUUGAAAGUAUCUCAAUAAGCCAUAAAAGGUUGAAGUUUAUUUAAUCAUGCUAGCUCUGUAAAUAUUUCUAAAUCUUCCAUUACUUAAGGGCUAUAUUUAUACUAAUAUGUAUCAGAUCAAUGCCAAAUUUAUCUCCAGCAGUAAAAUGUUAAAAUAACCUUUAAAAAACUAUUUUUUAAAAAACAAAAAAGGUGACCAUAAAGAUUGGCACAUUCAUAUCCUUUCUAAAGUGAAAGUAAAGGACAAAUUCAGUUUUUUAUUUUAGUCAUGGAACACCCGGGGGAAAAAGAGAACAAGCAAACUAUGCCACACUUAGGGGUAUUUGAACAAUUGUAGUUUAACAUUUCUAGUUUUUAGUUAAAUUUAGUUAAAAUGGUAAAUUUUAUAUCUAUCUUACCAAAAUAAAAAUACAUAAAUCAGAAAAAAAUUUAAUUAGAAAAUAAAUUUCUUAUUUUUUAAGUCAUAUUGCACCAUGCGAGUGCCCCGAACAACCUUGAAACCCUGACAAGAGACACAGCAGGGACAAAAAAUGCAGUCAAAGGGCUCUCCAGCUCCAUCCACAGCAUAACCCAGCUCUUGCCAAGAUUGACAAGAUCUUGACAAGAAGAGUCUACUCUUCCUCAAGUCAUGGCUUCCUGAGCAAAAACUACCAGCAACUUGGGUUAACAACAAGUUGAUCAACAGCCACGCCUUGGAAGUUGGAGACAGUGAAUUACUCCUGAGAGAUUUACAGACAGUCCUACAGAAAAGGCAUCAGAUUUUUUUUGCAUACAAUUCAUUCUGGUAAGUGCUUAUUGCCAUUCUGACGCACUGACUUCCAUUUACCCAACAGCAGGAUUUACAAUGGGAUUUUUAACUGAUUGUGCUGGGAGAAGAUCAGGACUAUCCCAGAGAGCUGGCUGCUGAGGGUGGACCUGAGGGUGAAGUGGCGAAAGGAAAAACAAGGAGCUGCUUCUCCUUGGUGUUGUGAUGUGAACUGGACAUUUGCAGCUCUAUGUGGAAAUCAGAAAGUACAUCUUCAAUGAAACACAAAGCAACAUGUUAGUUGAAAAAUAGAAAACUGAAGAAGAAAAAAAAAGACAAAGGAAGUACAUAAAAGGAUGUUUUCAUUAUCUAAAUCUAAUAUUAACUACCAUGAUUAUUGUGUGAUUCAUAUGUGCGUGUCGAAAAUGUAUGAUAUUUCUAUGUUUUCGAGACAGCCAAGUAAAAAGGUCUCCCCAGAGAACCUUCUACCAGCCUGUGCACUGGGAGGAUGGGGCAGGGCCUCGAGAAGUUCACACCAUUUGCAGCCGGGAGGAGCCUGGCCUCUCCUGUUCCUGGGCGGUGACCUGGGAUUCAAUAUGUGAGAUGGGGAUCUGUUAACAGGAACCCCUCUUGCUUUGUGGAGAGUCUUUUUCCUUUUCACCCAAUAAUUUCCAUUUUUCUCACCCUUCUAGGUGUCCACAAGCCUAACCUUUCCUGGUCGUGUGACAAGAACCUGGUUUUUAGCUGAACUGAAGAGAAAGUCCUACAAUACUUUAAUUAGGAGUAUUUAUAAAUACUUAUAAAUAGCCUGUGCGUAGAUAGUCAUCAAAAACUGAAAGUGAAAUACAAAGUCAGUUGAAAUCAAAAUGAAAGCUCAAUGUUACAACUGAAAUAAACAAUCCUCUUUUUUAUGAUAUUGGCACAGUUAG